CUUAUCGCUCUAGCUAACAGCUAA
rnacentral:siRNA from 1 species